CACCUGUUAUCCCAGCAACUUGGGAGGCUCUGGCAGGAAGAUCAUAAGUUAUAGGCCAGCCUCAACAAUUUGGGAGGCUGAGGCAGGAGGAUUGCUAGUUGGAGGCCAACCUAAGCAAUUUAGUGAGGCCCUGUCUCAAAAAGGUCAGGGGCUACGUUGUGGCUCAGUGGUAGAGUGCUCGCCUAGCAUGCACAAGGCACUGGGUUCAAUCCUUAGCACCACAUAAAUGUAAAAUAAAGAUAUUGUGUCCAGGGCUGGGGUUGUGGCUCAAAAGUAGAGCACUUGCCUAGCACAUGCAAGGCCCUGGGUUCGAUCCUCAGCACCACAUAAAAUAAAUAAAAUAAAGGUAUUGCGUCUUCUACAACUAAAAAAUAAUAUUUAAAAAAGAAAUAAAUUAAAAGGGCUGGGGAUGUAGCUCAAUGGUAAAGUGCCCCUGGAUUAAAUUCUUAGUAUCAAAAAUGACAACAACAAAAUAAUAAUUUUGAUAACAUCUCAAAUUUUACAUCAGGUUUAUUCUAAGUCUUGGCAAAUUAUACUUGGUUUGUUUUAUAUAGCUUAGAACUUAUUUAUUUAAACAUUCUCUUUAUAGUUACUCAUGAAAAGAGAAUUUGUACUUUUGGUGUCCAUAGGGUCAACUCUCUUAGCUUCUCAGCCUUGCAGCAUUUCUUUUCAAACUGUCUUCUAGAAGCUUCAGUGGUUUGUUCCUGGGCCAGAAACUACCAAGAGCAAGAUUCCAUAUAAAGAAGUACAGAUAGAUAUAGCAUUCUCAGAAAGAAAAAUGUGGACUGUGUCCAUGCAGGACUCAUUUUAGGGAAUCUGACCAGGCCAGUGGCACCCUUUGUUCCAGCAAAGUGUUUCUGACCUCCCACCAUGUUAUUUGUGCCAGAGUGGAAGGUGCAUUGUGCCAGGUUAAUUUUGUUAUAAUCAGAGGGCAAGGGAUGUAGCUCAUUGGUAAAGCACUUGCCUAGCACAUUUGAGGCCCUGUGUUGAAUCCCUAGUACACAUAAAGAAAAGCACUGGACAAACUGUAUCCUCUAGGCCCUUCAAGUUUGAAAACACAAACUGUGCUUCUCCCUUGAAAGGGAAUAGGUAUUAAAAUUGAAUAGAAGAAAACAUAGUUUGAGAAAAUAUUCUGCCAUGCUGGGGAUUGAACCCAGGACCUUGAGCAAGAUAGGCACAUGAUGUAUCACUGAGGUACAUCCCCAGCUCACUGUAGAAAAAUAGCAGCAGUGACUGUAUAGGAGUUGGGGAAAUCUCUGAUUGUGAUGUCAUUGGAUCUUUCAUCAGCAAUUUACUGAAUGCUGGUAUAUAUAUGCCAGACACAGGUUACCUGGUUCUUUUUUGUUAACUUUUCCAAAAUGGAUGUUGGACAUGGUCCUUUUUUUUUCUUCCCAAAUAAGACUCAUAUCAUUAAUAAGACUUGUAUCAUUAAUACAUCCAUAAAUUACAGGUAUAUAACCAUAAAAUUUUGUUUAUAGUGAUAAAAGCUAGAUUGAAUAUAAAUCUAAAAAUGAUGUUUCUUAGCUGGAUCCUUAGAAACAUUUAAAAUGUUCAUCUAAAUAUUGUAAAACAAACAAAUAUUAUAAAGAAUACUAUACUUGAUCAUAAUCCUGAUCCAUAUAAUUUGAUCUAAAUAAUCUUUUAAUUAUUUUAGUUUUUUUUUUUUUUUGUUUUUCACAUACUGAAGAUUGAAUCCAGGGGUGCUUUACCACUGAGCUAUAUAUCUAGACUUUUUUUAUUUUGAGACAGGGUCUUAUUAAAUUGCCCAGGCUGGCCUCAAACUUGGAAUCCUGCCUCAACUUCCUAAGUCACUGAGAUCAUAGGCAUGUUUGGGUGCUGCGGGGUUGAACUCAGGGCCUUACACAUUAGGUAAAUGCUCUACCACUGAGCUACAUUCGCAGCUACAUUCUAGAAGAGUCCAUUUCUAUUCCUGAUUCCGUUGUUCUUUCAUACCUAGUUUUUGUCUUACUUUGUCAACAUUCAAAUAUCUACAUUCAUGUAGAUAUUUUGUGAGGAAUGGUUAUUAAAUGUGUAAAUUGCUUUAAAACUGCAAUGAAAAGAAUUGUGAGAAAGCAAAAUAAAUACUAUCUUUAAAAAUAUUUAAAUAUGUAUUUUAAGCCUGGCAUGUUAUCGCAGCUAUUUGGGAGGCUGAGGCAGGAGGAUCACAAGUUUGAAGCCAGCCUGGGCAACUUUUUGAGACUCUAUCUCAAAAUGAAAAAUAAAAAGGGCUGGGGAUUUAGCUCAGUGGUAGAGGGUCCCUGGGUUCAAUGCCCAGUAUGGUUACCAAGAAGAAAAAAAAGUACUCAGUGAAUGAAAGAAUAAAAGAGGAAGCAAUGCAUUUGGAUUGACUUAAGGAAGUUCUUAUGUUCAUAAUCAAGAUAUUUGAAGUAAUGGGAAAUGAUGAAUCAUAAAAAGUAACUAGGAACACCUAAUGUAGUUAAAAACCCACCAUUCUGUUGCUCCUUCUUUCCUGGAGGUGAGGUGAGGUGAGUUACUUUUUCUGAAGAAAUUAUUUCUUUUCAAUGAUAUAAAAUGGUCUAAAGAGAUCUUAUAAUAGCCCAAGACUUCCUGAGGAAAGAACAAUACUGGGUGUGUGGGAACUCCUGUGUUAACACUAGACUGUCUCAGCAGGGUGUCACUGGCAAUAGAAAUGUAAAGCAAAUUAAAACUAGUCCUUUUAUGUUUACCAGACCCUGCAACCCCUUUAGUUUGCUGCUUGUGUGUGUCUCCUAUUCUGAAAAGAAAUCAAAUGGAAACUGCCUGCUCAAAGUUAAAAAGUCCUAUGUGUCACCUGUAUGCUUGCUUGAGGACUCCCUGUCUCCUCUGUGAGCCUGUCCUCUUUCCUAAGAAAGCUUUUCUGCUUAUUAGUGAAAUAAGUGUCCCUUUCAAUUCUAUCUCUAUUUAGCCACCAAUUAGUCAGAUGAGCAGAAAUGUGCUCCCACACUGAGUGCUGUACUAGGGGCAUGAGGAAGCCGCUCCACUUCAUGUGCAAGCUAUGUGAGCCCUUUUUAUCUCCCAGGAAAGGCCCUCAAUAGGUUUGCUCUACCCCCUGGAGCCUGUAGCUAUUUCGGUCUAACUACUCAUUAAAGUCAAUUUAAGAUAUUGCUAAAGCCUUUGGAUUCUUUAAGUGAAUUGCCUCCACUUCAACUAAAAAUAAUUCACUUUUACUCCCCAGAGAGGCUCCCAAGUCACAUGAACUCCCUCCUCAGCCUUACCCCAGUAAAAAUAUGGAUAUCCCUGGCAAGAUUAGCUUCUUACAAAAGACCAAGACUCUUACUGGGAAUGCAUGUCUAAUUACAAGAAUGGAAGCAAAGGACAGACCCAAGGUAAAGUGAAGGCCAGGAAUAUAAAUGAGAAACCAGGACUUUGGGAAAAGGCAGGCAUUUUUCUUUUAUCCUUUAAUGACAUCUAAAAAUUGAUGAGAGUAUGUAGCAGCAAACCAGAGCCAUCCGUCACCAAGGGACAUGCACUAUGCCUUUCUUCUUCUGCCUUGGGAGCCCAUUCCAGAAUUGGGAGCCUUGGCAUAACUGGCAGAAGAGUGAACUGAACACUCCAGGCAGGGCAGAGCCAGCCCAACAGAAAGAGACUCACAGAAUGUUUACAUGGAAGUGCAAAAGGGGAAUAGUCUGUUUCUGAAAACUUGUAAUAUCAUUAUUGUUACAGCAAGUGCUUCUAGUCAUCUAGAAAUCAUAACACAUACUGCAUCAUCUGCAGGUUCAACAAAAAACCUGAGCUUAGGGAUCUUUGGCUGUUUCUUAAGUUAUCAAUUUAAUUCUAAGCUGAUGAUAUACCAGUGUUAUACCAAAAGCAUUAAAGGCUUUAGGAAAUUUAAGCAGGUUGUUUUGGUGCUAAACCACAGUAUCUUAGGAUGAGAAAAGCAACAGUCAACCAUUUAUUUAGUUUCCAUUAGAAUGGAAAAUGACUUGAUCAUAGCUAUUUGAAUAUAUUGGACCAUUACUCAGAAAAUAUUUCUUCACACUUUUCUCCCUGGGGUGGAGUUUGCUUUCUUGUCCAGGGUUUUGGCCCAUUUGGCCAAUGGACUACUUGUGGGCGUGACUCCUGGAGGGGCCUUCCAAAUGCUUUUCAGUUAGGCUUGGUGCUCUUGCUCUUUGCCAUUCCUCAUGCAGAACAGGCCUGGGCAACCUGUGGUCCAAGGAGAGGAGACAGGUGGAGCAAACUUAGUUCCAAUUAAACCCUGCUGAUCCAGUCCAAUACAACAGAGUCAUGGCCAACCUGCAGCCUGAAGCUAGGCAGUUCUCUGUUGUCAAGUAAAAAGCAACCUCCAAGUUUUGAGGUAGUUUGUAAUCCAGUGUUAUUCCAGCAAAAGCUGAAGUAUACUAUUCAUUUCUACUGUGGUCCAUUUGUCAUGCUUUUGCCAAAGCCAUUUGUAUAUGUGUGUGUGGUGCUAGGGACUGAAUCCAGAGCCCUGUACAUGCUAAACACACUCUGCCAUUGAAAUCCAUUCCUCUUUCUCUAGUCAUCUAUUUAAAUGGAAAUCCAAUCAUGUCACAUACACUUGUUCAAAACUUUUGACAGAUCUUGUUAAUCUUGGGGUGAAGACCAAUAGUGUAGCAUGACCUAUAAAGUCCUUAAGGUUCCAUCGACAACUAAAAAAAAUCCUUAAGGCUCUGGACCUAGCCUCUGUGGCUGGCCUCUUCCUGAAGUCUCUUUCUCCAUCACUGUAUGACAGCUCUCCUGCCUUCUCACUCACCUGUGGGUUGGCUGGUCCCACUGUCUGCUUUACUGUUCUCCCUCCUCUUUGCCUAGUUAACUUCAACUUACACCUCAAGUGUAAGGUUAAAUGUUUCUUUCCUAAGAAAGCUCUCCUUGACCCUAAUACAAGGUUAGAUUCCCAGUUGUAUGGAUUCAGGCCCUGAUCUAUCGGCCUUUAGCACUUAACUAUAAUUACAAACACUUACUUGACUGUAACUCACUGAUGUCCAUCAGACCCACUAGGAGGAAAGGGAGGGCAUGGACAACACACAUCAGAGUUGCUGCCUGAGCCCCUUCCUAGCACAGUGCACACACCUGGGGGGCACUCAGUGCAUAUUCCUUGAAUAAGUGACAGACUAAAGAAACUGGAUGUGGGCUGGGGUGGCUCAGUGGCAGAGCCUGAGGAUUGAACAAUCCUCAGGACCACAUAAAAACAAACAAACAAAAUAAAGGUAUUGUUCACCCACGACUUAAAUCCUCAGGAUUCAAUCCUCAGGACCACAUAAAAACAAAUAAACAAAAUAAAGGUAUUGUUCGCCCACAACUUAAAAAAAAAAAAAAAAAAAAACUGGACCUGAUGCUGGCGAAGACGUGGAUCAGCGCAAGUGAAAGGUCCCAUGAGAAGUGAGUUUUGUAAGGCAGAGAAUGAGUGUUGGCACAAGGUCAAGAGAACACCUGCAGAGGAAACAGUCUCCUUACUCACAGGGCCAGGUUGGUUCUAGCAAUAAUGAGAGUCAGAUGUCUUUUAUUACAUUAGACGCAUGAAAACUGUGAUAAUAGGAAAUGUCAUUAGCUGUGGGAAGGCUGGCAAUGUGGAAAGGUUGGACUAUGAUAGAACUACUGAUAAGUUCAGACCAGGGCCAAUAGCCCUAGAAUUUGAAAUGAAGAUCAAAAUCAUGCCUUUUAGGUUCUUUGUUUGUUUUAGUACCAGGGAUUGAACCCAGGAAUGUUUAAACACUGAGCCACAUCCCCAGCCCUUUAUAUUUUGAGACAGGCUCUCACUAAGUUGCUAAGGGCCUUGCUAACUUGUUGAGGUUGGCUUUGAACUUGCAAUCCUCCCGCCUCAGCCUCCCAAGUUGCUGGGAUUAUAGGUGUGCACUCCUUUGCCCAGCUGCCUUUGGGGUUCUUUUUUAUUCUAAUUUUUUUUGUAGUUAUAUAUGAAUAGAAUGGCUUUAUUUUAUUUUUUUUUAUGUGGUGCUAAGGAUCGAACCCAGUGCCUCACAGUGCCUCACAUAGGCAAAUGCUCUGCCUCUGACUACAGCCCCAGCCCCCUUUUGUAGUUCUUAACAUUUAUUUAUUUAUCUAUCUAUAUAUUUAUUUAGUACUGGAGAUUGAACCUAGGGGUGAGCCACAUCCGAGCCACAUCCCUAGACCUUUUUAUUUUGAGACAGGGCCUUGCUAAGUUGCUUAGAGCCUCUCCAAGUUGUUAAGGCUGGCCUCAAACUUGUGAUCCUCCUGCCUCAGCCUCCCAGGUUGCUGGGAUUACAGGUAUGUGCCACCACACCUAAUAAGGGUUCUUAACUUUUAAAUAGUGCCAGAUGUUAUCUAAAAGGAAGAAACUCCUCUAUGUAUCAUCAUAUAUACAGAGAACAAAUAAAAUGUACCAGGAGUGACAUGAGGUUGAAGCUUUGAAUUGAAAAUAUGAUGUUGGGGGCUGGGGAUGUGGCUCAAGCGGUAGCGUGCUCGCCUGGCAUGCGUGCGGCCCAGGUUCGAUCCUCAGCACCACAUACAAAGAUGUUGUGUCCUCCGAAAACUAAAAAAUAAAAUAAAU
rnacentral:lncRNA from 1 species